rnacentral:rRNA from 1 species
GACGAACGCUGGCGGCGUGCUUAACACAUGCAAGUCGAACGGUAAGGCCCUUCGGGGUACACGAGUGGCGGACGGGUGAGUAACACGUGGGUGAUCUGCCCUGCACUUCGGGAUAAGCCUGGGAAACUGGGUCUAAUACCGGAUAGGACCCUGGGAUGCAUGUCCUGGGGUGGAAAGCUUUUGCGGUGUGGGAUGGGCCCGCGGCCUAUCAGCUUGUUGGUGGGGUGAUGGCCUACCAAGGCGACGACGGGUAGCCGGCCUGAGAGGGUGACCGGCCACACUGGGACUGGGAUACGGCCCAGACUCCUACGGGAGGCAGCAGUGGGGAAUAUUGCACAAUGGGCGCAAGCCUGAUGCAGCGACGCCGCGUGAGGGAUGACUGCCUUCGGGUUGUAAACCUCUUUCAGCACCGACGAAGCGCAAGUGACGGUAGGUGCAGAAGAAGGACCGGCCAACUACGUGCCAGCCGCCGCGGUAA